GAGGAACUGGUUCUGUUUCCUCCGGUCAUACCUUUCGUCAAGCAUAUUUUCAACGGGACUUUUUUUGCCCUCCCACCAAUUCUCUACUACUCCACCACGUCGGCUUUUUUUUUGUCCACCUCUCCUGCACCGGUUUUGCUAUGGUUUUUUCAUGGUUUUGUUUCGUCCAGAUCGGCAGUCCAGGCUACUAGCCACAGAACGACCAGCCCAUCUACACCGCCGCCUCCUCGACCGCCCGCCGCCACGGCGCCAGAGGGCUGCGCCUCGCCUUGAGGGCGAUCGCUCCAUGGAUGGUGCUACCGUGUGCGCAACGAGAGGUCUCCCAACCCCUUCUCCCGCGUAGUGCUACGAGAAAUGCGGGAGCUAGGGUUAGGUCGCCGCCGCCGCUGUUCACGAUAUGUGGUAGAACAGCAGGUCGGCCUCGACCUGGCAGUGGAUGGCCGCGGCAACUGCGGCGUUCCCGUCCGGCACAACGCCGAGGAGGCAGUCCCAGGAGGCGGUGCACAUCGACCUCAAGAAGCUGCGCCGCAUCACCGUCAAGGUCAAGCUCGCACCCUGCCGCCCGGGCUCCGACGACCCGCGGGUCGACCUCAACUGCGUGCACCAUCUGGUGUCCAUACCGCAAGAUGCUGAAUUACGCGGUGGAGUAACAGACGGUCAAGACUAAGGAUGAGAAGAGCAUAAAGCAGAUUGAGGAGCAGAGGUAGGCACAUGUCCGGAUGCGGCAUCAGGAAGGACAUCGCGGAGCGGUUGAAGAAUAAGCAGACUGCUGCUUCGAUUGAUGCAAUAACAACCGCGGAAGUUGAAUGCUCUCAUACCAGUGGCACAUCCACACGAGCUGCAGCCAUCGAUGAAGGCAAUGAUGUGCUCUCAUCUCAAAUGCAACAUUCAGAGUUGCUACUGAGGAAUGCUGAACGCUUAAAGCAGACACAGUAAGUGUGGCGGACAAGAAGCUGGCUGAGCUCAAUGCCCUCUUCGCCACCAGUUUUGUAUGGCUGAGCUCAACGCCUUCUUCGCCACCAGUUUUGUAUGGCUGUGCUCGACGGCGAGGAGAGGUGCAUAGGGGUCGUCUCCAGGAUCAUCUUCCUCAUCUACCCUACUUAGUUUCUAUACAAUGGAGAUAUGCCAUCCGCGUCAGGACUUGAGACAAGGCCGCAGAUUCGCUCCCCACCCACCUUGCUCACCACAGAUUCGGCGAUUAUACUAUGGGGAUGAUUCCGGAGAAAACAUGGGACCUGAUGUUCGGUAAACCCAGAAAUAUUAUGCGGUUAGCUUCCUUUAAUUUUUGUAGAGCUUUGGUUGUCAAAACCGAUGUUAGUUGUUUUCCAUGGUCUGGUGAGCUUUUAUCUUAAUGUUCUUUGGUCUUGAAGUUUUUCCAUAGAUUUUCAUUGCCUGCUACUUCUAUGAUUCAGUUGUUCUCCGUUCCUUCUCUGUGGGGCGGCCGUUACCUGAGGUUGUCGGCCAAUGGUGACUGAAUAUCGGCGCCUCCCCCGUGUUGCUGUAAUGACUGGGAUCUAGGGGUAAGGAGCAAUUCCUUUUUUUUCUUUUCCCUUUUCCGUUUUAACUGAUCUGACAUUUGCUUUUAUGUGUCAUCUACACUAAAAAAACACAAAUGUCAUUAUCCAUCAGAAUGUAUGUGAAAGAAUUCCGCCAUGGUUUCUAUUAGAAGCAUAUCUUACACCUAGAAUACUUCAUGGUAACUUAGGGCUAUGUCAGUUAGUACCGUUCGUGUUCGCUGGAAUGAGAUGACACAUUGAAUUAUAAGUAAGAAGGUAACUGAAGCAAGAAUUUUUUUAUGAUUUUUGUGAUACUGGAAAGAGCGAGGUCAUCAGCCAAUGAUGAGUGAUAAAGUAUCCAAUUUGGACAGUGUUCUGACUUUUAUUUGGCUUGUUCAUGCAGAUGCAGGUUUGUUUGUGACGAUCUGGAUAUACAGUGAUAGUUUUAUCUAUUCCUGAAAUUGGAUGAUAGUUUUAUCUGUUUAGCAGUAUAUGUACUUGGACGUUUCAUCAUACCCAUUGUCUUUGUCAGCAGGCUCUAGAGUUGCCAAAAUCUGCAAACUCUGUGUCACUGUUAUUUACACUCUGCACUAUAUGGGAAACUAUUGUAGGGUUUCUGGAGAAGCAUGAUUUGUGAAAUAUCCUUAGAAGGAGUGACGAAGCAUAUAUUUACUGUCAGGUAAUGUGGCAUAUUUCAAUUUUUUCCAACUUGUGAUAUGUACCUGUUUUAUUGGUCAGGAUGGGUGCAGGGGACGUAGUUCGGGAUUGCAAAGCUCAGCUACCUUUUAGUUUUACUGUGUACACGUACCUACGAUGUGUAAGGUGAUUACGGUACCUAGGUCUGCUAAUCCUUGGUUAAUGAUUUUAGCCCAUGAUAAAUCCAGAAAUAAUGCCCGAUAUCUAAGUUGAAGCAUGGAGCUACUGGACCAUUGUCAGUCAAAUUUUUAAGAUCUUUAAUUUUUCUUUGGAAUUAGAUAUUUUUGGUCCGCACCAUUCCAUCUUUUACUCUACAAUUUAUGCACCUACAUACUCUGUUGGAAAGUUUGAUUACUUUUAGCCCAUAGCUAACUGUUGCAGUUGCAGAAACAUUGCCCAGCAAAUACAGAUUCUUUUGAAGUGCUACCAAAUGGCCUCCCUUGACUAGCAAGACUAGGAUUUAUCUAUUUGGUGAGAUGAGAGCAAUAAUCCAGGAUUCCAGGUAGAUGGUAACAGAUUUAUUUUACUAGAUUUCAAUGUUCAAUGUGCUCAGGAUUUUUAACAUCUUGUAUGCUUGUGUUCCGAGUUGCCAGAUUUAGUGUUUAAUGUUUUACAAGGAUUUUAGCGAUUUGAGAAAUAAUCCAAGUAUAGUUUUGUACUUGCAGCGAGCUUGGCACUUGGAGUCUCUCGGUUCUUCUUACCUAGGUAUGGGACAAUCACUGCAAUCCUAGCUGAUUCCACCCUAAUCCCCCUAUGCAGAUGCUUACCUAAUCCUUAGCAUUUGUUAGAAAAAAAGGCAUUCAUACAUACAGUAGCAUUAACUCGGUUUUCUCUCUGUUGUUAAUCGGUAAUAAUGGUGUGGAGAUGUUUGUCUGAACUUAUAUGGUUUUUUUUUUGCGAGUAACUUUGUGAAAACGUGCUUAGAUCAGUUUCUCUAACAUUUUAAUGAUAUGCUCCUGUGAAACAUGUCAGUGAAGCAAAUCCUGUAUUUUCGUAUUUGUAGGUUGCAAUUAUUUUGAUAUGGUGUUGUAUGAAUGAAGGAUCUAUGGUCCACGGACCAGGCCAGAUAAGGGAGAUUAUGCCUCAAAUUCAUUCAUCUGUGAGAUGGUGGCAAAGUGUUCUACAACACUGUAUUUCACCAAUCCACUUUCAGAUGUCGAAAUAGAUGCAAUCAACUUAACUUUAUAAAAAAAUAUUUCAAUGUUUAAACAUAAAUUAUUUUAUAUUUCUGCUCUUAAAUUGAUAGCAAAGCCUAUUUUAAUAUUUACCUUUUAUUUUUGAAGGUACACACUGAGGUGGAGUGACUAAGACAAAGAAAAGUUGUAAGACGUGGGUAGCCGCCUUUGGCUCAAUUGGCAAAUCUGAUGGGAUAUAAGUGAUCCAAAAUGUAACAGGCUGACUCUUGGGCCUAAAAGUGUCACAUGCUCGUACACGGCAAGGACGAUGCUCAACGCAGCUUCGUGCGAUGGAUUUUGCCAUCCGCACGCCUCUACUUGCAGCCCAUGGCUCCCGUCGAUCUGAGAGGAGGAAGGAGGGAGGUAAAGGGUGAAGUGAUUAGUGAUGCUUCUUGAGGACUCCACGGAAGGGAGCAACUAGGGAUGAUAAAAUGUUUGAAGAAAAGAUGAAGAUAAGAGAAAGAAUUGCAGAUGCUGACGGAGUUCAUCAAAGUUUGUCAAUUAUUCUGUAUAAUGCAUAUGGUUUUUAAGAUUAGGUACAGAUUCCGAGGCCCUCUAAUUUUAUAGGAAAAUGAUUGAAUGCCCC